AGCCAAAUCAUAGAGGGUGAUAAUCCCGUACUUGAAAGUAUUGUUGUAGUACUAAGCUUACGAUAAGUAGGGCGGGACACGAGAAAUCCUGUUUGAAGAUGGGGGGACCAUCCUCCAAGGCUAAAUACUCCUGAUUGACCGAUAGUGAACCAGUACUGUGAAGGAAAGGCGAAAAGAACCCCGGUGAGGGGAGUGAAAUAGAACCUGAAACCUUGUGCGUACAAGCAGUGGGAGCCCUUUAUGGGUGACUGCGUACCUUUUGUAUAAUGGGUCAGCGACUUAUAUUUUGUAGCGAGGUUAACUGAAUAAGGGAGCCGAAGGGAAACCGAGUCUUAACUGGGCGAAGAGUUGCAAGGUAUAGACCCGAAACCCGGUGAUCUAGCCAUGGGCAGGUUGAAGGUUGGGUAACACUAACUGGAGGACCGAACCGACUAAUGUUGAAAAAUUAGCGGAUGACUAGUGGCUGGGGGUGAAAGGCCAAUCAAACCGGGAGAUAGCUGGUUCUCCCCGAAAUCUAUUUAGGUA
rnacentral:rRNA from 1 species